rnacentral:rRNA from 1 species
GCGAACGGGUGAGUAACACGGUGGGUGAUCUGCCCUGCACUCUGGGAUAAGCCUGGGAAACUGGGUCUAAUACCGGAUAGGACCAUGCUUUAGUGUGUGUGGUGGAAAGUUUUUUCGGUGUAGGAUGAGCCCGCGGCCUAUCAGCUUGUUGGUGGGGUAAUGGCCUACCAAGGCGGCGACGGGUAGCCGGACUGAGAGGUUGGUCGGCCACAUUGGGACUGAGAUACGGCCCAG